CUUGUAGUAUAUGUAAUCACAUACGUAUGUGAGCAAUCAUUUUCUACCUGCAAGUUUUCUAGGUUUAAGGUUUUUUUCUUCGCUUUCUAUUCAAAUGUGUCAUAGUUUCGCACUUACAUGUAAACCAACAUUUUCGAGCUAUAUUGUAUGCAGCAGAAAUGUAAAUAGAAAUAUUUAAACUACACGUUUAAGUGUCAAUUAUAUAAAAAAGAAAUGUACAAAAUUAUUCAAGCAAAAGGUGAUUUUUGUUUAUUCAUGCUAUUUUAACCAUCGGUUGCUUGGAUGAAACAUUUUCAUUAAUACUUGAUUUCUUGAUGUGACGGACAUUCCUCUGUUCUCGUGUGCUUUUGUUCUCGACUAUUACUUAACCAUACUAGAAAAUGAUGAGUAUUGUCGUUUUACAAUAUAGACGCAAUACUGUAAACAACACCAGUAUAUAGGUAAACUGAAGAUGAGUUGAGAACGAGACUCCUCCAAUAUAACUUACGUCUCUUUUGCUACGUAUUCGUUGCAUUUGCUCAAAUGCGUUCUUGGAAUGUAUACGUUUGCGUAAAUUAAUCAACCCAGUUCGCCCUGAAUAAUUUCAAAAACUAUGCGCAAAUAGUUUAUUAAUAAUAUCAGAUUAUCCAACGCAUUUGUAGAGCAAGUAUUAAUCUAUGCAAACUCAUUUGUGGGAUGGAGCUUUUGCGUUGGGGUGUUAGUAUAUCCAUUUUUUCUAUCAGCUUUUUAUUCUUAGUCAAUUUAUGCCAAUACAAAAGCCAAUUUCAAAUAAAAUGAAAAAAGACGUUUAUUCAACUAAUUCUGCUUUGGUAACCUAGUAUUGUCAUUACGAAGUGAAAUCAGUUACUCUUCUGUUCUGCGUGUGUCGGUAGGACUGUUACUUACACCUAUAUCACAUUAUUACAUGUUAAAAAGUAUCUUCCAACUUUCAUACUCCAUUUCAUUAUCCUCUUAUUAAAU